GACCGCCACCGUUGAUCAUCACCAUCUUGUGAAUUUGUUCUGGAUAUUCAUGAGCCAGGAACGUGCAGAACGACACACUACACAAAAAGAACAAAAGGCCGGUUACAGGACAGACUGAAAAAACGAGGAGCUGCUGUGGAAGUUGCCAUGGCUGUUGUUGCUAUGUAACUACUUGUAAGGAGUCCAAGGAGGCAGGUGACAGCGAGGUGGGAGAACAUACAGAAACCAAGACCCAGCAAACCACGAGAAACCGGAAGGACUGGCAAAUCCACUCACGCACAGUUAUAAUUUACAUCUCCCUUAAAGUCUAUGAUGUUACGCAAGAGCGCUGUUUAAAAUAAAGCGUACAAUAGUGUGACACUUCAACUGUGCUUCUUAAGGCCCUUUUAAGCACCACUACCAUCAUGUGAUUUAAAUCUCAUCUCCUGGACAAAGUACAAGUCACUGAACCUAAGAAACACACUAAGAGACUUCAAAGUAUACAGUGUGCAGCAAAAUGGCCUUUGUCACCCGUAUAAGGUUAGAAGGCACAGUCUAUUCUGUCUGAUCCUAACAGCACCUUAUUAGUCUGGGUGUAGACACAGUAUACUGACAUGCAGUCUUUAAAAUAUAUCAUUAUAUUCUUAAUAUUAAUGAUGCUCAGUCCUGCUUUUUUGUAUAUUUAUUGCCUAUUUAUUGCAUUUUGCUUGAUUGUUGUGUGAUUUUUUAGGACAAAUUCCCCCUUGGGGAGAAUAAAGAUAUUGUGGAUCCUUGAUUUCAGCGAUUGCUGUGCACCCAUCAUAAAUUAGAUAUUUCUGAUGCUAAAAAAACCAAA